UGGGGAAUAUUGCACAAUGGGCGAAAGCCUGAUGCAGCGACGCCGCGUGAGGGAUGACGGCCUUCGGGUUGUAAACCUCUUUCAGCAGGGACGAAGCGCAAGUGACGGUACCUGCAGAAGAAGCACCGGCUAACUACGUGCCAGCAGCCGCGGUAAUACGUAGGGUGCAAGCGUUGUCCGGAAUUACUGGGCGUAAAGAGUUCGUAGGCGGUUUGUCGCGUCGUUUGUGAAAACCAGCAGCUCAACUGCUGGCUUGCAGGCGAUACGGGCAGACUUGAGUACUGCAGGGGAGACUGGAAUUCCUGGUGUAGCGGUGAAAUGCGCAGAUAUCAGGAGGAACACGGGUGGCGAAGGCGGGUCUCUGGGCAGUAACUGACGCUGAGGAACGAAAGCGUGGGUAGCGAACAGG
rnacentral:rRNA from 1 species